rnacentral:rRNA from 1 species
UACGUAGGGGGCUAGCGUUGUCCGGAAUCACUGGGCGUAAAGCGCACGUAGGCGGGUCUUUAAGUCAGGGGUGAAAUCCCGGAGCUCAACUCCGGAACUGCCUUUGAUACUGGAGAUCUUGAGUCCGGGAGAGGUGAGUGGAACUCCGAGUGUAGAGGUGAAAUUCGUAGAUAUUCGGAAGAACACCAGUGGCGAAGGCGGCUCACUGGCCCGGUACUGACGCUGAGGUGCGAAAGCGUGGGGAGCAAACAGG